UACGUAGGGGGGCUAGCGUUGUCCGGAAUUACUGGGCGUAAAGAGCUCGUAGGUGGUUUGUCGCGUUGUUCGUGAAAACCGGGGGCUUAACCCUCGGCGUGCGGGCGAUACGGGCAGACUUGAGUACUGCAGGGGAGACUGGAAUUCCUGGUGUAGCGGUGGAAUGCGCAGAUAUCAGGAGGAACACCGGUGGCGAAGGCGGGUCUCUGGGCAGUAACUGACGCUGAGGAGCGAAAGCGUGGGGAGCGAACAGG
rnacentral:rRNA from 1 species